rnacentral:misc_RNA from 1 species
UUGAAAUAAACCUGAUGGGUUGUUGCUGGCUCUCUAGGGAGCAUGUGCACACCUUGUCAUCUUUAUAUCUCCACCUGUGCACAUUUUGUAGACCUGAAAAGGUCUAUCCUUAAUUAGUUGAAAUCGAUGACCCUGUCAAUGACCAGUAUGUCGUUAAACUACCUAGAGAGUGUAAUGCUCUCGGCCUCUUUCCACGGUGAAAACCGGUUCCGAGAGGUCUAGUCGAUGUGCGUUCUCUGGCGCAUGCCUGACAGUAUAACCAGGAAGUAGAACUUAUGGGAAAUCUGUCUAGGGCCAUCUGAGUAAGGAUUAACUAUCCUUAAUUAGUUGAAAUCGAUGACCCUGUCAAUGACCAGUAUGUCGUUAAACUACCUAGAGAGUGUAAUGCUCUCGGCCUCUUUCCAAAGUCGUAACAAGGUUUCCGUAGGUGAACCUGCGGAAGGAUCAUUAUUGAAAUAAACCUGAUGGGUUGUUGCUGGCUCUCUAGGGAGCAUGUGCACACCUUGUCAUCUUUAUAUCUCCACCUGUGCACAUUUUGUAGACCUGAAAAGGUCUAUGUUGCUUCAAUUUACCCCAAUGUAUGUUAAUAGAAUGUUGUGCCUAUAUAAUAUAUACAACUUUCAGCAACGGAUCUCUUGGCUCUCGCAUCGAUGAAGAACGCAGCGAAAUGCGAUAAGUAAUGUGAAUUGCAGAAUUCAGUGAAUCAUCGAAUCUUUGAACGCACCUUGCGCUCCUUGGUAUUCCGAGGAGCAUGCCUGUUUGAGUGUCAUUAAUAUAUAUAUCAACCCUCUCUUGUUGAGUGGUUUGGAUGUGGGGGUUUGCUGGGCUCAUAAAGGGUUCAGCUCUCCUGAAAUGCAUUAGCAGGACAACCCUUGUUCAUUGGUGUGAUAACUUAUCUACGCUAUUGAAUAUGAGGGGCAGUUCAGCUUUCUAACAGUCCUUGGACAAAUUCAUCAUUAAU